AUUGAACGCUGGCGGCAUGCCUUACACAUGCAAGUCGAACGGUAACGGGCCUUCGGGUGCCGACGAGUGGCGAACGGGUGAGUAAUGUAUCGGAACGUACCUUUCAGUGGGGAUAACGUAGCGAAAGUUACGCUAAUACCGCAUAUUCUGUGCGCAGGAAAGCAGGGGAUCGCAAGACCUUGCGCUGAUUGAGCGGCCGAUAUCAGAUUAGCUAGUUGGUGAGGUAAAGGCUCACCAAGGCGACGAUCUGUAGCGGGUCUGAGAGGAUGAUCCGCCACACUGGAACUGAGACACGGUCCAGACUCCUACGGGAGGCAGCAGUGGGGAAUUUUGGACAAUGGGGGCAACCCUGAUCCAGCCAUGCCGCGUGAGUGAAGAAGGCCUUCGGGUUGUAAACCGCUUUUGUCAGGGAAGAAACGCUCCGGGCUAAUACCCUGGGGUAAUGACGGUACCUGAAGAAUAAGCACCGGCUAACUACGUGCCAGCCGCCGCCGUAAUAC
rnacentral:rRNA from 1 species